CACAGUAAUAAAAGAACAGUUAUUCAAAGAGCUCACAAGCUGUACACUCACUACUUUACACUGUAGCAAAGUGUCAUUUCUUCAGUGUUGUCACAUGAAAAGAUAUAAUCAAAUAUUUCCAAAAAUGCAAGGGGUGUACUCACUUUUGUGAGAUACUAUAUAUAUAUAAAUAUAUAAUGUGUGUGUAUGAGAGAGAGAAAUAUAUAGGUAUGUUUCUACUAAAACCGUCUUCUAACUCGUUUUAAACAAACACAUUAAAUAAUAUUUAAUACAGUGCACAUACAUAUAUAUAUAGACACAGAGAGAGAGAGAGAGAGAAUAUCCACAAAUAGGGAAGAAGAUUUCAAAGAUAAGGUCAUGUCUACAAUUAUUAAAUUACAAAAACAAUUAUCAUGGACGGGACAAAAGGGAUGAUGGAUGAAAUGUAUGUAUGAUGUAAUAGCUCUUGCCCAGAAAUCCGCUUCUAGAAAGUUGCCGUUCCCGAGUUUGGACACACGGGGGCAGUCAAGCUCCAUCCAGCACAACGCCGCCCGAAACAGAAGGCCAGCAUGCAUUGCGACAGUCAACAAACAGGUAAUAAUGGAGAGAUCCAGGCACUGGCACACAGACAAGAGGAAAUUUAAAAAGAUUUGGCAAGUUGACUUUUUAUUUACUGAAAUCAAUUCAAAGGCAGUGUGUCUAGUUUGCACGCAGUCCGUUCUUCAGCUUUCUCAAAGGACAGCGGCGAGGCAUGAAAACAGAAGGCUAACGAGCUGCUUGCUAAACUUCGAUCUGAGCAGAGUGCGCUGCUACAUCCUUAAUCAGCUCAAGAAAGUGCCACACGGGCCAGCUAUCAGAUUUCCUGUAUUUUACAUCAAGAACAGCUAUGUGCCCAAUCCAUCGGGCUUAUGGAUGUGAUGCGUGACGUCGUCAAAAAUGUGAAUGAUAUACGCUCCAAGGCGCUCUCUCACCUGCAGUUCAAGGUACUGUUGGAUGAGAUGGAUGCACAAUAUGGUGAUGUGUUGUACCACCAGGAGGUUAGAUGGCUGAGCAGAGGAAAAGUUCUCAGGAGAUUUUUUGAUCUGCGUGAUGAGAUCAGAGCUUUUCAGGAAAGCAAGAUUGGUAGUAUUCAAGUGCCCAUGGAUAAGAAAUGGUUUUCUGACCUGGCUUUCCUGGUGGAUGUCACAGAGCUGCUCAAUGUUUUAAAUGUUCAGCUCCAGGGAAAAGACCAGAUUAUCACCCAGCUUUUUUAUCAUGUCGGAGCCUUCAAACAAAAACUACUGCUGCUCCGAAGACAUCUCUCAGCAGCUAACAUUCACAAUUAUAAUAUUCACCAUAGUUUUAUGUGCAGUUAUUGUUAUUAUUAAUACUUAUAUUUAGUUAACAUUUAUAUCCAGUGGAGUCAGCUUUGGGUUUUUUUGUUAAUCAAGCUGAUAAUAAUGACUAGAUUCUGUUCUACUACUUCGCAGUCAUAAUGAUCUUUUUUCUCCCUCUCUCCUUUCGCCGAGCCCCACAUGAAUUUAUGGAGAUACUAGAGAUCCAGAUCCUUUCUGCCUCUGGAUGGAGCUCAAAUCUUCUCUAAUUCCAGACUGCUGGGACUAUGGCUGCUCCUAAGGCCAUACAGACUUCAUAUAAAUCCAUAAUGAACUUUUUCACACUAUCUGUUGUUACCCAGAUGAGGAUGGGUUCCCUUCUGAGUCGGGUUCCUCUCAAGGUUUCUUCCUCUUAAAACAUCUUAGGGAGUUUUUCCUUGCCACCGUCGCCACUCAGUGGCUUGCUCAGUUGGGAUAAAUUCGCACCUUUAGUAUCUGUAUACCAUGUUGAUAUUUCUGUAAAGCUGCUUUGAGACAAUGUCUAUUGUAAAAAGCGCUAUACAAAUAAAAUUGAAUUGAAUUGAAAUUGAA